rnacentral:rRNA from 1 species
GGCUCAGGAUGAACGCUGGCGGCGUGCUUAACACAUGCAAGUCGAACGAAGAUGCCGGAGUGCUUGCACUUUGGCAGACUGAGUGGCGGACGGGUGAGUAACGCGUGGGUAACCUGCCUUAUACAGGGGGAUAACGGUUGGAAACGACUGCUAAUACCGCAUAAGCGCACGGUAUCGCAUGAUACAGUGUGAAAAACUCCGGUGGUGUGAGAUGGACCCGCGUCUGAUUAGCUAGUUGGCAGGGCAACGGCCUACCAAGGCGACGAUCAGUAGCCGACCUGAGAGGGUGACCGGCCACAUUGGGACUGAGACACGGCCCAGACUCCUACGGGAGGCAGCAGUGGGGAAUAUUGCACAAUGGAGGAAACUCUGAUGCAGCGACGCCGCGUGAGUGAAGAAGUAAUUCGUUAUGUAAAGCUCUAUCAGCAGGGAAGAUAGUGACGGUACCUGACUAAGAAGCUCCGGCUAAAUACGUG